rnacentral:rRNA from 1 species
UAGGGAAUCUUCCACAAUGGACGAAAGUCUGAUGGAGCAACGCCGCGUGAGUGAUGAAGGGUUUCGGCUCGUAAAAACUCUGUUGUUGGAGAAGAACGGGUGUCAGAGUAACUGUUGACAUCGUGACGGUAUCCAACCAGAAAGCCACGGCUAACUACGUGCCAGCAGCCGCGGUAAUACGUAGGUGGCAAGCGUUGUCCGGAUUUAUUGGGCGUAAAAGCGAGCGCAGGCGGUUUUUUAGGUCUGAUGUGAAAGCCUUCGGCUUAACCGGAGAA